GAUCAUGGCUCAGGAUGAACGCUAGCUACAGGCUUAACACAUGCAAGUCGAGGGGCAUCAGGAAGAAAGCUUGCUUUCUUUGCUGGCGACCGGCGCACGGGUGAGUAACACGUAUCCGAACCUGCCCUUUACUCGGGGAUAGCCUUUCGAAAGAAAGAUUAAUACCCGAUAGCAUAAUGAUUCCGCAUGGUUUCAUUAUUAAAGGAUUUCCCGGGUAAAAGGAUAGGGAUGCGUUCCAUUAGGUUGUUGGUG
rnacentral:rRNA from 1 species